rnacentral:rRNA from 1 species
ACUCCUACGGGAGGCAGCAGUGGGGAAUAUUGCACAAUGGGCGCAAGCCUGAUGCAGCCAUGCCGCGUGUAUGAAGAAGGCCUUCGGGUUGUAAAGUACUUUCAGCAGUGAGGAAGGCAGGUACGUUAAUAGCGUGCUUGUUUGGACGUUAGCUGCAGAAGAAGCACCGGCUAACUCCGUGCCAGCAGCCGCGGUAAUACGGAGGGUGCGACGCGUUAAUCGGAAUUACUGGGCGUAAAGCGCAUGCAGGUGGUUUGUUAAGUCAGAUGUGAAAGCCCGGGGCUCAACCUCGGAAUUGCAUUUGAAACUGGGCAGACUAGAGUACUGGUAGAGGGGGGUAGAAUUUCAGGUGUAGCGGUGAAAUGCGUAGAGAUCUGAAGGAAUACCGGUGGCGAAGGCGGCCCCCUGGACAGAUACUGACACUCAGAUGCGAAAGCGUGGGAGCAAACAGGAUUAGAUA